rnacentral:rRNA from 1 species
UGGAUCCAGACUUUGAUUCUGGCUCAGGAUGAACGCUAGCUACAGGCUUAACACAUGCAAGUCGAGGGGAAACGACAUCGAAAGCUUGCUUUUGAUGGGCGUCGACCGGCGCACGGGUGAGUAACGCGUAUCCAACCUGCCCACCACUUGGGGAUAACCUUGCGAAAGUAAGACUAAUACCCAAUGACGUCUCUAGAAGACAUCUGAAGGAGAUUAUAGAUUUAUCGGUGAUGGAUGGGGAUGCGUCUGAUUAGCUUGUUGGCGGGGUAACGGCCCACCAAGGCGACGAUCAGUAGGGGUUCUGAGAGGAAGGUCCCCCACAUUGGAACUGAGACACGGUCCAAACUCCUACGGGAGGCAGCAGUGAGGAAUAUUGGUCAAUGGACGAGAGUCUGAACCAGCCAAGUAGCGUGCAGGAUGACGGCCCUAUGGGUUGUAAACUGCUUUUAUAAGGGAAUAAAGUGAGAGUCGUGACUCUUUUUGCAUGUACCUUAUGAAUAAGGACCGGCUAAUUCCGUGCCAGCAGCCGCGGUAAUACGGAAGGUCCGGGCGUUAUCCGGAUUUAUUGGGUUUAAAGGGAGCGUAGGCCGGAGAUUAAGCGUGUUGUGAAAUGUAGACGCUCAACGUCUGCACUGCAGCGCGAACUGGUUUCCUUGAGUACGCACAAAGUGAGCGGAAUUCGUGGCGUAGCGGUGAAAUGCUUAGGUAUCACGAAGAACUCCGAUUGCGAAGGCAGCUCACUGGAGCGCAACUGACGCUGAAGCUCGAAAGUGCGGGUAUCGAACAGGAUUAGAUACCCUGGUAGUCCGCACGGUAAACGAUGGAUGCCCGCUGUUGGUCUGAAUAGGUCAGCGGCCAAGCGAAAGCAUUAAGCAUCCCACCUGGGGAGUACGCCGGCAACGGUGCAACUCAAAUGAAUUGACGGA